GACGAACGCUGGCGGCGCGCUUAACACAUGCAAGUCGAGCGAAGCGGCGGACGGGUGAGUAACACGUGAGUAACCUGGCUUAGACAUUGGGAUAGCCUCGGGAAACAGGGAUUAAUACCAAAUGGUCUAAGAUGGACUCGCGUCCCAUUAGCUAGUUGGUGGGUAACGGCCCACCAAGGCGACGAUGGGUAGCCGGCCUGCGAGGGUGAACGGCCACAUUGGAUCUGAGAAACGUUCCAAACUCUACGGGAGGCAGCGGUGGGGAAUAGUGCUCAAGGUAGGGAACUCUGAUGCAGCGACGCCGCGUGAACGAAGAAGGCUUUCGAGUCGUAAAGUUCUUUUAUAUGGGAAGCGGUACCAUAAGAAAAAGCCCCUGCUAACUCCGUGCCAGCAGCCGCGGUAAUAC
rnacentral:rRNA from 1 species